rnacentral:rRNA from 1 species
UACGAAGGGGGCUAGCGUUGUUCGGAAUUACUGGGCGUAAAGCGCGCGCAGGCGGUCUUCCAAGUCAGUGGUGAAAGCCCGGAGCUCAACUCCGGAACUGCCAUUGAAACUGUUGGACUUGAGUACGAGAGAGGUGAGUGGAAUUCCCAGUGUAGAGGUGAAAUUCGUAGAUAUUGGGAAGAACACCGGUGGCGAAGGCGGCUCACUGGCUCGUAACUGACGCUCAGGCGCGACAGCGUGGGAUCGAAACAGG